AACGCACCUUGCGCUCCUUGGUAUUCCGAGGAGCAUGCCUGUUCGAGUGUCUUGCAAGCAGUCGACUUCACCCCCUUCGGGUGUGUGAAGCUCGGAUAUUGGAUGCCUCUUUGUGGUGCUCCUGUGCCCACUCAUCCCAAAUGCAUUAGCUGUGGAGCGUGUCCCCCACGCGGAAGCUGGUUGUGGAGAGUAAGAAUGCCUCCACAUUCCUUGCCAGUGUCGCAGCUGACAACCGUCUGCGGACAAAUGCGCUACUUUCUGACCUCGAAUCAGGUAGGACUACCCGCCGAACUUAA
rnacentral:misc_RNA from 1 species